AUCAGUCAUAUUUUAAAACGGGCAGUUUCGAAAUAAGCAAAGAAAACAACGAUUCUAAACCGGAACGUGCGUCAAGGAAUUAAUUGUAGUUCUCUUUUAUAGCGGUUUAAAAUGUAUCUAAAAGUAUAUACGGGUGUUUGCAAUAAUUUAAUCACAGACGUAGAAAUAUAACCAAGAUUCACGACGACCAUUGUAUUGAUAGAGCAGUUGUCUAAAUAAAAGAGCAGCGUCAGUUUUGGAAAUGUCACAUUUUAUAUUUGUGUCAGUUUUUAGUUAAGUAUAUGGAAAACUACAAGCGGUGUGUAUUUCAGUAUGCUAACGUGACGUUUUUCAGCAGGUUUCAUUUGAUUUUAUGAAGCAGAAUUAGUUAACACUCAAAUCAACCCCUCGACAGCAGUUCUACUAAAUGUCCACACGAGGGCAGCAUUGGAUAGGAAAUGAAAGCUAAAGCCUCGUCUGUCUCCCUGAAGUUCGCUACCAAUUGUAAAGAGCAGAGGACAGCUCAGCCGGAGGCGUGUGUCUGUGUGAAACGACUUUAUUUCAUGUGAUAAGUUUGUGGAAGAAGGACGCCAUGUGAAGAGGCGUUUGCUCUUGUUUUACACAGACUACGAGGGACAGCGCUCGUUAAACCAGGUCUGUGAGGAUGAGAAGGUCUCCACAGUCUGGAGUCUAGUCUCUGACAGGCUCAACAUACCUGUCAAUCAACAGGGACUCCUCUACAAAGGCAAGGCGCUGGCAGGUAGGCUGAACAGCACAGCACAGCACAGCUCACCCCUCCUCUCACCCCUCGCCUCACCCCUCCUCGCCUCACCCCGGGUCAAUGUGGCACAGCCUGCCUGCUCUCCUGAACAAACACUUCAGCCCUGCCGACGCAUUGAGAGUCUGGAGCAGCUACACAAGGAUUACGAGCGGAGGCUGCGCUUGUUGAGCCUGGAUGAUAUGGAGUGGCUGGCGACCCGCAUGCUUCACCCUGAGGCUGUGGAGUGCAUGGAGCUGUCCUUCUCUCCCCUCUCUCCUCCCCAGGGAGGGGAGGGGAGGUGAGGAGAGAGAGAAACCUGCUACUGAGGGAGCUGCAGCUCUGAGGAGAGGAGAGAGAGGAACCUGUAGCUCUGAGGAGAUCAAAUCUUUCUUCAGGUGGUGUUAUUUUGAUAGUUUUGAGGUUGAAUAUUUCAGUCCAGGUUUGAAGCACUCACUCUUCAUUACUGAUAUUUAAAUCCAGAAGAAACACAAAAUAAGUAAAAAUCUGUGUUGAAGUCUUUGUAUUGGGGUUGUUCAUUUUAAAUGCCAUGUGUUUACAAUUACCAGUUUUACAUUAAACAGCAGAAAUAAUGUUACUGGCUUGCCAGACCCAAGAGCCUUUUCAUAUCUCAGGCUAGCAGACCCUGGCCUUGAAAAAAAGAAAUGCUGCUGCUGUUCUCCUCGGUUCUGCUUUUAUAAGCUGGCACCUCUGCAUUGUUAACGAGCUUUGUGAAGCAGAGACGUCUUGUGUUAAUACAAUUCCAUUAUUAUUGAUUGAAUCUGCUUUUCAAAUGCUUGGUGUUUCAAACCGGCUUUAAAAUAACCUUUAUUAUUGAAGUGUGUUCAACAAUCAUUUAAAACAUGAGGCUCUUUCACAAAUCACUGUGAGGGCAAUGAGAAAGUGAAUACGAAACUACCAUGAAACUCCUCCACUAAAUAAACACAUUACAAAACAGAAACAAAUAGACGUGCACAUUGAAAACAGAAGGACGCAUUGUAGGCAUUUCAAAAUGAAAUAUACUGAGCCUCUCCGGGACCCGUCAGGACACAGCGGCGAGCGCUUAACCGCAACAUUACUGGACAAGCCCGGCGGCUGACCGCCCCCAGCGGCGCCCCGAGGAGCUCGCAGGAUUUCCAAAGCUUCACGUGGUCUCCAGUUUCCAGCGUGCUCGCUAAUCCACACAAACCUAACGACUCGUUUUCUUCAUCUGACGUGAAAGCGCACAACGGGUCUCUUUAUAAACCUGGCAGCGGUGACGUCAUAAGAACACCACCCACCUCCCCUCAUGUGAUAGGCUGCUUCUGUUCUGCUUUUCAGCCAAUCGGCCAUGCAGGGCGUCUUUCCCCCCGAGUUAACAUCGUGACUGUGAAAUUGUGUGUGCCUUUGUGUGUUCAUGUUACUCUGUGUUCAUGUUAGUCCCUCGUCUCUGUAAGCGCUCAGUCCCGUCCCCAUUGUCUUAAACAAGCAACGGUACAUCGCAUCUCCUCUUCAGUCACUGCGUGUAAACUGGAGCACGUGAAGCGUCCUGUCUCCAACGCCAUAGAGUUCACACAAACUGUUUGCAAAUUAAAAAGCUGUUAUUUUAAAACAACCCUCUGUGAAGCACUGACACGAACGUUUCUUUGUGUUAAACUUAAUGCAAUUCCAUCAGCUACACUCGUUCAUCUGCAAUUCAAAUGUUUGCUGACUUCAAAACAAUACACGCAUCCAAAAUCAGAUUUCAAAAUACAUUUUAAAAAGGUUUUUGAGUGGGUGCGGAACCAAAGCGCAGGCAAGCAGGCAGUGAGGCACACUGCCCCCUCCCGUGGACACACACCGGUACUACAGCCAGAGGGGAAUGUGACGCUGAGAGUCCUAGCAACACUGCAGCCGAAUUAAUGACGUGAAUUAUUAUUAAUAUUAUUAUUAUUAUGAUGAUGAUGAUGAUGAUGUUUGUAGGAAUCACGAUUUCUGUGAUUUAUGACUCAUGCUGUGUAGGUCGUCUCGUAUUUUUAUCAGAGCGAUGUCAUUUUUCACAGUUUUGGUCGCUCAGCUUUCACGGGCAGUUUCCCUUCCAAGCUCCAGAGGUUCACAGUGAAAACUGCGAACGCUAUCUUCACAAACAGCGACAGACGGGCCAAUCGGGGCGGGGACGUCACAAACGCGCUCGAGUCAUGCGGAGCCGCCGCCACGGAGGCGCUCGGCUCCCUCCAGUGGACACGCAGCGGUACUGCAGUCGGGAGUCGCUAAAAGAUUAUUUGAUGAAUUCCUUACCGAUGCGGCUAUCUCGUGGAGAGAAAGUGGAACGUUUACGUCAUGUCCUAAACAAUCUGAUUGGAUAAAAGACAAUGUCACAAAUUAAAUGACUUCUGAUUGGCGAACGCAGUUAGCAAAUCAAAAGUUAGAAAUGCGUUACCUAAUUUGUAUAGACCCUAUAGCUGUCCAACGUGCGCACCUGUUUAAAAAUAUACAUUUAUUAUUAAUAAAACAUUUUUUAGUACACGUGUCCACGUCAGUAUUUUAAUAAUAUUAUAUUUUCAUGCUUUUAGUGAAGAAUUGUUUUACUAUCAGUCAUAUUUUAAAACGGGCAGUUUCGAAAUAAGCAAAGAAAACAACGAUUCUAAACCGGAACGUGCCUGAAGGAAUCAACUGUAGUUCUCUUUUAUAGCGGCUUAAAAUGUAUCUAAAUGUAUAUACGGGUGUUUGCAAUAAUUUAAUCACAGACGUAGAUGCGUGUGUAUUUCAGUAUGCUAACGUGACGUUUUUCAGCAGGUUUCAUUUGAUUUUAUGAAGCAGAAUUAGUUAACACUCAAAUCAACCCCUCGACAGCAGUUCUACUAAAUGUCCACACGAGGGCAGCAUUGGAUAGGAAAUGAUAGCUAAAGCCUCGUCUGUCUCCCUGAAGUUCGCUACCAAUUGUAAAGAGCAGAGGACAGCUCAGCCGGAGGCGUGUGUCUGUGUGAAACGACUUUAUUUCAUGUGAUAAGUUUGUGGAAGAAGGACGCCAUGUGAGGAGGCGUUUGCUCUUGUUUUACACAGACUACGAGGGACAGCGCUCGUUAAACCAGGUGAGUGCAUCUCGUUUACUUUGUUUAUUAUUCAGUGGAGCGGUUGUUUUUGAAUCCGCAUUUUUAAUAACAAAUGGCCGUCCGGACCCGCGUGUGACUGUUUGCUGAUUGGCUUUUAAUAAUGUGUUUGUCUUUGUGAGCUCUGAUCAGCAGGGUGCGGUUUGACGGGGGUGUGAUUUCCCCGGCUAUAUUGACUGGGGGUCAUCUUUAUUGUUUAUAAUCGUACGUUGUUCUUGCCUUUUAGCUCUUGAGCAUAAUAAUCUCAAUCCCGUUUGAAAUGACACUAAGUGCAUUUGCAUGGUGGCAGAUGAGGGAUGUCGCUUCACUCGAGGCUUGUGUACUGAUGAAGAUGUAGUUUCAGUGUUUAAUGCUUAUCCCCUCACUGUGUGUGUGUGUGUGUGUGUCUGUGUGUGUUCUUGUCUCUCGCCUGUCCUGUGAGGAUGAAGAUGUAGUUUCAGUGUUUAAUGCUCAUCCCCUCAGUGUGUGUCUGUAUGUUCUUGUCUCUUGACAGGUCUGUGAGGAUGAGAAGGUCUCCACAGUCUGGAGUCUGGUCUCUGACAGGCUCAACAUACCUAUCAAUCAACAGGGACUCCUCUACAAAAGCAAGGCGCUGGCAGGUAGGCUGAACAGCACAGCACAGCACAGCACAGCUCACCCCUCCUCUCACCCCUUGCCUCACCCCUCCUCUCACUCCUCGCCUCACCCCGGGUCAGUGUGGCACAGCCUGCCUGCUCUUCUGAACAAACACUUCAGCCCUGCCGACGCAGUGAGAGUCUGGAGCAGCAACACAAGGAUUACGAGCGGAGGCUGCGCUUGUUGAGCCUGGAUGAUAUGGAGCGGCUGGCGACUUGCAUGCUUCACCCUGAGGCUGUGGAGUGCAUGGAGCUGUCCUUCCUGGACUGAGGAAUACUGCUGCAGCCCUCUCCACCUCUCCCCUCUCUUCUCCCCUCUCCCCUCUCUCCUCCCCCUCUCCUCUCCUCCCCUUACUUUGUUUAAAAGAAUAGAAGCACACCCAGUGAGCAAGGCAUUGAGCAGCCCCACAUCCCGCUUCACAAUACCGCUACAUAUUGACUGACUGUUCGCAUUGUGUGUGUUUGGUCUGUGAGGAUGAGUAGGUCUCUACAGUCUGGAGUCUGGUCUCUGACAGGCUCAACAUACCUGUCAAUCAACAGGGACUCCUCUACAAAGGCAAGGCGCUGGCAGGUAGGCUGAACAGCACAGCACAGCUCACCCCUCCUCUCACCCCUCGCCUCACCCCUCCUCUCACUCCUCGCCUCACCCCGGGUCAGUGUGGCACAGCCUGCCUGCUCUUCUGAACAAACACUUAAGCCCUGCCGACGCAGUGAGAGUCUGGAGCAGCUACACGAGGGACUCCUCUACAAAGGCAAGGCGCUGGCAGGUAGGCUGAACAGCACAGCACAGCACAGCACAGCACAGAACAGCUCACCCCUCCUCUCACGCCUCGCCUCACCCCGGGUCAGUGUGGCACAGCCUGCCUGCUCUUCUGAACAAACACUUCAGCCCUGCCGACGCAGUGAGAGUCUGGAGCAGCAACACAAGGAUUACGAGCGGAGGCUGCGCUUGUUGAGCCUGGUUGAUAUGGAGCGGCUGGCGACCCGCAUGCUUCACCCUGAGGCUGUGGAGUGCAUGGAGCUGUCCUUCCUGGACUGAGGAAUACUGCUGCUGCCCUCUCCCCCCUCUCCUCUCCACCUCUCCCCUCUCCUCGCCAAGGAGGGGAGGUGAGGAGAGGGAGGAGAGAGAGGAACCUGCUACUGAGGGAGCUGCAGCUCUGUGGAGAGAGAGGGAGGAGGGAGAGGAACCUGCUACUGAGGGAGCUGCAGCUCUGAGGAGAGGAGAGAGAGAUUAGAGAGAGGAACCUGCUACUGAGGGAGCUGCAGCUUUGAGGGGAGGAGAUAGAGGAACCUGCUACUGAGGGAGCUGCAGCUCUGAGGAGAAGAGAGAGAGGAACCUGCUACUGAGGGAGCUGCAGCUCUGAGGAGAGAGAGGGAGGAGAGAGAGGAACCUGCUACUGAGGGAGCUGCAGCUCUGAGGAGAGAGAGGGAGGAGGGAGAGGAACCUGCUACUGAGGGAGCUGCAGCUCUGAGGAGAGGAGAGAGAGGAACCUGCAGCUCUGAGGAGAUCAAAUCUUUCUUCAGGUGUUGUUAUUUUGAUAUAGUUUUGAGGUUGAAUAUUUCAGUCCAGGUUUGAAGCACUCACUCUUCAUUACUGAUAUUUAAAUCCAGAAGAAACACAAAAUAAAUAAAAAUCUGUGUUGAA